ensembl:snoRNA SNORD96 Small nucleolar RNA SNORD96 family
GAUCCUGGUGAUGACAGAUGACAUUGUCACCCAAUCCCCACAAGGAAAUGAGGACAUGUCCUGCAAUUCUGAGUGGAUU